GAUGAACGCUAUCUACAGGCUUAACACAUGCAAGUCGCGGGGCAGCAUGGGGGUUGCUUGCAAUCCCCGAUGGCGACCGGCGCACGGGUGAGUAACGCGUAUCCAACCUGCCCUUCACCACGGGAUAACCCGGCGAAAGUCGGACUAAUACCGUAUGUUGUCCAUUGGCGGCAUCCGAUUUGGACGAAAGGUUUGGCGGUGAAGGAUGGGGAUGCGUCCGAUUAGCUGGACGGCGGGGUGACGGCCCACCGUGGCGACGAUCGGUAGGGGUUCUGAGAGGAAGGUCCCCCACACUGGAACUGAGACACGGUCCAGACUCCUACGGGAGGCAGCAGAGAGGAAUAUUGGUCAAUGGGCGUAAGCCUGAACCAGCCAAGUAGCGUGCAGGAUGACGGCCCUAUGGGUUGUAAACUGCUUUUAUGCGGGGAUAAAGUGGCCCACGUGUGGGUUUUUGCAGGUACCGCAUGAAUAAGGACCGGCUAAUUCCGUG
rnacentral:rRNA from 1 species